rnacentral:rRNA from 1 species
UACGUAGGGGGCGAGCGUUGUCCGAAGUUACUGGGCGUAAAGCGCGCGUAGACGGUCCUUUAAGUCCGGGGUGAAAGGUUCAGCGCUCAACGUGAACAGUGCCCUGGAGACUGGGGGACUUGAGUGUGGGAGGGGACAGUGGAAUUCCUGGUGUAGCGGUGGAAUGCGUAGAUAUCAGGAGGAACACCGAUGGCGAAGGCAGCUGCCUGGCCUGACACUGACGCUGAGGUGCGAAAGCGUGGGGAGCGAACAGG